AGCAGCAGCCGCGGGAAUACAGAGGGUGCGAGCGUUAAUCGGAUUUACUGGGCGUAAAGCGUGCGUAGGCGGCUUCUUAAGUCGGAUGUGAAAUCCCUGAGCUUAACUUAGGAAUUGCAUUCGAUACUGGGAAGCUAGAGUAUGGGAUAGGAUGGUAGAAUUCCAGGUGUAGCGGUGAAAUGCGUAGAGAUCUGGAGGAAUACCGAUGGCGAAGGCAGCCAUCUGGCCUAAUACUGACGCUGAGGUACGAAAGCAUGGGGAGCAAACAGGAUUAGAUACCCCGUAGUCCCUGUCUCUUAUACA
rnacentral:rRNA from 1 species